rnacentral:lncRNA from 1 species
GGAGGAGGGGCGUGGUUUUGACGGGCGAGGACUAGACCAAGCUGGCGAACUUUCUGCAUCUCAAAGAGGGCUCAAUUUCUGCCAGACCUUGAGAUUUGAAGAUUCACUGGAAAACUUCCCAGAGCAGAAGUGGAUUGGGGCAAGAGCUUCCCACUGCUUCCACUUUUUACUCCUGCGGGGGGUUUAUCUUUUCUCACUGGGGGUCAGGAUAGAGGAGAUCGCUGGUGCCCCACGAGCGAGCCCACUUUGAGACGACACGGACUUGUGCGCGCCAAGGACCUGAGCUCACUGGCCCGAAAUCCAACUUUCACCUUAGUCCCCUUUAGGCAAGGAGCCCGAGGCCUUGGUGCCUCUGGAAUCCAGCGUACUCGCGUGACCGCGGCGGCGGCGGCAGCGACGAGGGAAGGGGGAGGGGGCGCUCCCUCGCGCACCGGAUUAUUUUUGGCUCGGUAGCCUGGGCUGCUUGCUGCCUGUCGCGCGCGCACACACACGCGCGCGCGCGCGUAUAACACACACACACACACACACACACACACACACACACACACACACAUUUUUCUCCCGGGCUCUCUUGCUCUCCUUUGUUUAUUUUCUAAUCUAUAUUUGUGUUGGAAGAUCGCUCCUUCAUUCUCUCCCGCCUGCCUGCAAGCGCUCCUGAGGGUCAACCGGGUGCACGCCGCUCUCCCCAUCACUCCAGCCCCCUCUCCUGGUCUCCCAGAGCGCGGGGUUUGAAGGUCACCUCCUUUCCAGUCCCCCUGCGAGCUGCGCCGCCUCCUCCAGCCUGAGUCGGUGGCGCUGGCUGCGCUGCCUUAAAGUGGUUCUCACGGCAGCGGACCGAGCUGGGGUCCGCGCAGGGUGGGGAAACCCGAACUGCGGAGGGGAAUCCCUCCCGCUGCACCCCAGCUCCGGCGGCACCCACCGAGCGCUCAGCCAGCCACGGGAACGACAGAGGCGGCGGCGGCGGCAUCCUUGAAACCCACGCGUGCGCCUCGGGGGCAGAAGGAGCGAGCAGCACACCCAGCGUCUGGAGGGGACAGCCGUGCGCCCCGCCCCAGCGUCCGGCGCGAGAGAACUCCGAGCCUGCAACAGAGGCAGCCCAAGGAGCAGCGAAACACGCGCCCCGGGAUCCAGAAACCCUCGCAGCGGCCAUCAGGGCCCGGGGCUGUUCGGACCCUCGCCGCGGCCAGGCAGGGGCGCCAGAGCGGGGCCGACCUGCCCGCGAAGUUGGGGACAGUGUGGGUGAAGCCAGCACCCCGCUUCACCGCCUCCAGCUCAUGGUGAGCGUGGCUGAGGGUGCCGAGAGCGUAGGGGAAAUCGGGGGUCUGGGGCAGAGGAGAAGGCGACUGCAGGCAGACUCGCCGCGAGUUCCCGGAGGCUACCUGAUCAAGAUGCUCCUGCAGGCUGCAGGCCAGCUUCCAGGUGUCACGCAGAAGCUGGGAGCCUUCUGAGCUGAGCAGGAAGGGAGGUGAAGAUCCUAUGCGACUCUGCCUGGCUCUGUCAACUCGAUUCAGGCUGCCAAGGAGUGGGUGGCCCAUGGCUUUCCUGUGGGCCCUGCCAGGCAGUUGGGUCACCUGCCCACCCCGAUUUGUGGGACCAGGCCGUUCAGGGCUUGGACAUCCUCACCAGGCUGCCUGGGAAGCUGGCACCCAACCUUGAGUCCUCUCAGUUGAACUUGUAAAGUGGUGAGAUGUGGAAUAGCUUUGUUUGAACUGAAUCACACUGUAUCAUAACUUGGGAUUUCUUUCAUAAUAAAAUGAUUAAAAAAACUUUUAAAUCCAAUGCGCGAUGAAACCUGGCCUGUCUGCAGGUUGGGACUCACUGCAGCCUUUCAUUAUCUCCCUUAUCUCCUGACCGCUGUCCCUUGCUCCUCCAGCCCUGUCCUAGUUCAUCCACCCGCCAUUUACCACUUAUUUUUGUUACACAGAGAGAGAGACAGAGAGAGAGAGAGAGACAGAGAGAGAGAGAGAGAGAGAGAGAGGGCGGAUGAGUGGGCCUGGAUCCUUUCAAUUUUUAAAUGACCACAGAGGGCCUGGCUGGAGCCAUCAGCAGAUUUAUUUUUGGCUGAGAGGUGUUUCUUUUUUGCUGUUGUUGUUUUGUUUUUCUUCAGAGGCAAAGGAUCUGGGACCUAUGAAGGUGAAAGGUGCUGGCAGUGGCUGCGGGCAAACAAUAGGGCAGACUCCAAACCUUGUUUGAGCACAUCCUGGAGACCCUGGGUCCAGAAGAUCCCUUGGGUUUCCUCUAAGUGACCAUAGGGUUGAGUUGGGUUAGA